rnacentral:rRNA from 1 species
GACAGAGGUCUCGAGCGUUAGGCGGAAUCACUGGGCUUAAAGCGUGUGUAGGUGGAUGCCUAAGUACCUUGUGAAAUCCCACGGCUUAACCGUGGAACUGCUUGGUAUACUGGGUGUCUUGAGCCAGCUAGGGGCUACCGGAACAAGUGGUGGAGCGGUGAAAUGCGUAGAUAUCAUUUGGAACGCCAAUGGUGAAAACAGGUAGCUGGGGCUGUGCUGACACUGAGACACGAAAGCCAGGGGAGCGAACGGG